GACGAACGCUGGCGGCGUGCUUAACACAUGCAAGUCGAACGGUGAAGCGCCUUCCUUUUUGGUGGGUGUGGAUGAGUGGCGAACGGGUGAGUAACACGUGAGUAACCUGCCCCCUUCUUCUGGAUAACCGCAUGAAAGUGUGGCUAAUACGGGAUAUUCUGGGUCUGUCGCAUGAUGGGUCUGGGAAAGAUAUUGUUUCGGUGGGGGAUGGGCUCGCGGCCUAUCAGCUUGUUGGUGGGGUGAUGGCCUACCAAGGCGGUGACGGGUAGCCGGCCUGAGAGGGUGGACGGUCACACUGGGACUGAGACACGGCCCAGACUCCUAAGGGAGGCAGCAGUGGGGAAUAUUGCACAAUGGGCGCAAGCCUGAUGCAGCGACGCCGCGUGAGGGAUGGAGGCCUUCGGGUUGUGAACCUCUUUCGCCAGUGAAGCAGGCCUGCCUCGUUUGUGGGUGGGUUGACGGUAGCUGGAUAAGGAGCGCCGGCUAACUACGUG
rnacentral:rRNA from 1 species